UGAAUAUCUGCGUGGCGUGGCUUUCUUCUCUCGGUGAAAAUCAUCCUCGGUCUCGUCUCAUCCAGAAAAAGAAACGGUCGGCAUCAUCAGAUCGCGCUGCCCACCCCGAGACAGCACAUCCUCUUCACGUCGUCGCCCACAGCGGCGAAAUGGAUGCGUAUGGAUGCUACUCCGGCCAACACGUACCACAGUUUUCUUCUAUUAUUUCACACUGUAAAACUCGCCGGGUUUAUCCUCUUUCCCAACACGCACCCACACGCACACACC
rnacentral:lncRNA from 1 species